rnacentral:rRNA from 1 species
UACGUAGGGUGCAGGCGUUAAUCGGAAUUACUGGGCGUAAAGCGUGCGCAGGCGGUCUUUUAAGUCAGAUGUGAAAUCCCCGGGCUUAACCUGGGAACUGCGUUUGAAACUGGAAGGCUUGAGUGUGGCAGAGGGGGGUGGAAUUCCACGUGUAGCAGUGAAAUGCGUAGAUAUGCGGAGGAACACCGAUGGCGAAGGCAAUCCCCUGGGCCUGCACUGACGCUCAUGCACGAAAGCGUGGGGAGCAAACAGG